rnacentral:rRNA from 1 species
UAGGGAAUAUUCGACAUGGACGAAAGUCUGAUCUAGCAACACCGCGUGUGCGAAGAAGGCCUUCGGGUUGUAAAGCACUUUUUGGAAGGAUUAGGAAGGAAUGUACUUCCAGAAUAAGUCCCGGCUAACUACGUGCCAGCAGCCGCGGUAACACGUAGGAGGCAAACGUUAUCCGGAUUUACUGGGCGUAAAGCGCGUGUAGGUGGUUCUGUAAGUAGGGCGUGAAAGCUCCUGGCUCAACUGGGAGAGGGCGUUCUAAACUGCAGAGCUAGAGGAUGGUAGAGGGAGGUGGAAUUCCGGGUGUAGCGGUGGAAUGCGCAGAUAUCCGGAGGAACACCAGUGGCGAAAGCGGCCUCCUGGACCAUUCCUGACACUCAGACGCGAAAGCUAGGGUAGCAAACG